GAUGAACGCUGGCGGCGUGCCUAAUACAUGCAAGUCGAGCGAACAGACGAGGAGCUUGCUCCUCUGACGUUAGCGGCGGACGGGUGAGUAACACGUGGAUAACCUACCUAUAAGACUGGGAUAACUUCGGGAAACCGGAGCUAAUACCGGAUAAUAUAUUGAACCGCAUGGUUCAAUAGUGAAAGACGGUUUUGCUGUCGCUUAUAGAUGGAUCCGCGCCGCAUUAGCUAGUUGGUAAGGUAACGGCUUACCAAGGCAACGAUGCGUAGCCGACCUGAGAGGGUGAUCGGCCACACUGGAACUGAGACACGGUCCAGACUCCUACGGGAGGCAGCAGUAGGGAAUCCUCCGCAAUGGGCGAAAGCCUGACGGAGCAACGCCGCGUGAGUGAUGAAGGUCUUCGGAUCGUAAAACUCUGUUAUUAGGGAAGAACAAAUGUGUAAGUAACUAUGCACGUCUUGACGGUACCUAAUCAGAAAGCCACGGCUAACUACGUG
rnacentral:rRNA from 1 species